rnacentral:rRNA from 1 species
GACGAACGCUGGCGGCGUGCUUAACACAUGCAAGUCGAACGGAAAGGCCCUGCUUUUGUGGGGUGCUCGAGUGGCGAACGGGUGAGUAACACGUGAGUAACCUGCCCUUGACUUUGGGGUAACUUCAGGAAACUGGGGCUAAUACCGGAUAGGAGCUCCUGCUGCAUCGUGGGGGUUGGAAAGUUUCGGCGGUUGGGGAUGGACUCGCGGCUUAUCAGCUUGUUGGUGGGGUAGUGGCUUACCAAGGCUUUGACGGGUAGCCGGCCUGAGAGGGUGACCGGCCACAUUGGGACUGAGAUACGGCCCAGACUCCUACGGGAGGCAGCAGUGGGGAAUAUUGCACAAUGGGCGGAAGCCUGAUGCAGCAACGCCGCGUGCGGGAUGACGGCCUUCGGGUUGUAAACCGCUUUCGCCUGUGACGAAGCGUGAGUGACGGUAAUGGGUAAAGAAGCACCGGCUAACUACGUG